AGAAUGUAUUGCUUUAAGCCAGCGCUGUAUGUGGGUACAUGAAGUGGAAAGCACCCAAUAACAAACAUAACAUUAAAAAAAAAAUCUACAAACUAGUGGGAAUAUAAAAUAAAUGUGUCUGGGCAAAUUGGUAUUGCCGGACAACCCGAACAGAUUUUCAAACAGAUCCAAAUGCAUGUGGACCUCAGCGCACUCGUGAGCACUACAAAUCUGCAGUAGACAUUUUACAGUCUGAGAAACAACAAAACGUUGAAGAAACAGAAGUUUAAUGCCAUGAUGCCACAGCAGCUCGCCGUUCCUGUCAGUACGGUGGAGGAGGGAGGAGCAGCGCAAAUGCAGCCGACAGAUAUAAAGCCAUGUGCUGGCAGCAGACGCUUCGCACCCCUUAAUAGCAUAUCUGUUGCUGGUAAGACUGUCUGUGCUGCCGGGCAUCUCAGUAACCAGGUGAAACUCCGCAGUGUCCAUCAUCUUGAGCAGCACCGGCUGUCAUUUAGCACGAAAGAUGCCUGUUCAGUUUUCCAUCUGAACAAGGGCCCUCUGGACCCAGGUGUGCACUACAUGAGCACUUUGUUCCUGACUCCUUAUCAGCGUUUACAUUUACACUCUCAGCCAGUCUUUAAUCUGCAAAGUUCCACUUGGUGAGAUUUAUACAGACAGGAGUAAAGAGGAUCUUUUCAUUUUUCCCAAAUUCCCACUGAGUCUGUAUUUUCACCUCUUGAAUGCUGGGAUUUGUAGGCCCAGCUCUUCACCAUGUAUAACAACAUCACCCUCAACGCUAGAGAAACCAAGGAGCUGAUCCUGGACUUUCGCAAACGGGUGACUCCCCAAAGUCCUAUCUACAUCGCAGAGGAUGCUGUAGAGGCUUCAACAGCUUCCAGUUCCUCGGGCACACAGCUUCUGGCGGUCAAAGGCAUCGUCUUCAGGUGCUGCCUCAGAAAAGCAAGCAGCACCUUGAGAGACUCUAGCCACCCAGCACUGUCACUUUUCACCUUCCAUCCAUCCAUCUGCACAAGCAUUUCCAGAUUUAGAGACAAGUUUCCUCCCCAUUGCUGUUAACCAGCCAGUGACGCUGACAUUUCCUCACACUGCCACUGUUACCUCAUUCUGUACCGUUGCUGUCUAUGCUGGUGCCAUUACUUUAAUUUUAUUUAUAUAGUAUUAUCACUGGUUAUACUGUUGAGGUGCAACUACAGACAAUUUUUCUUUGAAUUAAUCUAGCGACUAUUUUCCCAAGCUGUUGAUUCAUCAAAACUAUUAUUUUUCCUCCAGAAAAUCAGAUUGACCGUUUAAGUUAAUAUUAUUUUAAGAACAACACAAACUACGUCAUUGCGGGGUUUUAGAUAAUGGACACUAUACAGAUAUUUUUUUCGCCCACCAUUCAAUAAGCAGAUAAGUAACUUGUCUAAAAUAUUUAGAUUUGUAUUGUGAUGCCCAAAAGUUAGUAAUCUGUAUAAAAUCAGUGUAUCUUUGUUUUUUAAAUUUGGUUCUGUAAAUCAAUGUAGAAUAAGCCCAGAUUUUAACCUAAAAAUUUUCCUCAAAUGUUUAUUCAGUGGAGAUAAGUACAACCUCUACAGAUAGGCCUACACCCGUUUUGGCAGUGUCUCCGGAUCCCAUGACAAAUAAUGCCUUCAGUACAUCCUCCUCAACCCACACUGAAAGCAGAAGUGCUAUGGGCUUUGCAAACGGUUUGCGGACAUCACUCCUAUACGUCCAAUGAUGACAUUCACACCGUCUCCAGGGCGAUGUUCCCUGACUCGCAGGGUCACUUGUGGUAGGGAUAAAACCGCUUUUCUUGCGCGAUUUGGACUCGCUCCAUAUAUUAAAAGGGAGCUUCGUUGUUGUCAUGCCCGGCUCGUCCGCUCCUCCUGUGUGCCACGCCCCCUGAUUACCCACGUGUUUUCUCCCGAUUGUACCCAGCUGUAUCCAGUUCAUUUGCUCAGUCCUGUCUAUUUCAGUCCGUGUCUUACCUGAGUCCUUCGUCCGUCAUUGAUGUUUGUGAGAGUCAAUGCCUGUUUCCCGUCCUGCUCCCAAUAAACCCCCGUUUUCCCCGUAUCCCGCUUGCCUGCCUGCUCCUUGCCCGCACGAUCGCCGCUCUGCCCGCGAUCGCUGACGAUCUCCCGUGACAU